rnacentral:rRNA from 1 species
UACGGAGGGUGCAAGCGUUAUCCGGAUUCACUGGGCGUAAAGCGUGCGCAGGCGGUCUUUUAAGUCAGAUGUGAAAUCCCCGGGCUUAACCUGGGAACUGCGUUUGAAACUGGAAGGCUAGAGUGUGGCAGAGGGGGGUGGAAUUCCACGUGUAGCAGUGAAAUGCGUAGAGAUGUGGAGGAACACCGAUGGCGAAGGCAGCCCCCUGGGCUAACACUGACGCUCAUGCACGAAAGCGUGGGGAGCAAACAGG